UACGUAGGGUGCAAGCGUUAAUCGGAAUUACUGGGCGUAAAGCGUGCGCAGGCGGUUAUGCAAGACAGAUGUGAAAUCCCCGGGCUUAACCUGGGACUGCAUUUGUGACUGCAUCGCUGGAGUGCGGCAGAGGGGGAUGGAAUUCCGCGUGUAGCAGUGAAAUGCGUAGAUAUGCGGAGGAACACCGAUGGCGAAGGCGGCGACCUGGGACAAUACUGACGCUGAGGUGCGAAAGCGUGGGGAGCAAACAGG
rnacentral:rRNA from 1 species